rnacentral:rRNA from 1 species
GGUUGCGAUCAUACCAGCACUAAUGCACCGGAUCCCAUCAGAACUCCGCAGUUAAGCGUGCUUGGGCGAGAGGAGUACUAGGAUGGGUGACCCCCCUGGGAAGUCCUCGUGUUGCAACCC